UACGGGGGGAGCAAGCGUUGUUCGGAAUUACUGGGCGUAAAGGGCCAGUAGGCGGCCAACUAAGUCACACGUGAAAUCCCCAGGCUUAACCUGGGAACUGCGUGUGAUACUGGAUGGCUUGAAUUCGGGAGAGGGAUGCAGAAUUCCAGGUGUAGCGGUGAAAUGCGUAGAUAUCUGGAGGAAUACCGGUGGCGAAGGCGGCAUCCUGGACCGACAUUGACGCUGAACGGCGAAAGCUAGGGGAGCAAACGGG
rnacentral:rRNA from 1 species